rnacentral:tRNA from 1 species
GAUUCUAUUUAAAAGAUGCUUUGAAAGCAUCUUAUAAGAAAUUCUUCUUUAGAGUCA